rnacentral:rRNA from 1 species
UACGUAGGGUGCAAGCGUUGUCCGGAAUUACUGGGCGUAAAGCGUGCGUAGACGGUCAAGUAAGUCGGGUGUGAAAGCCCCGGGCUCAACCUGGGAAUUGCAUUCGAGACUGCGUGGCUAGGGUGCGGAAGAGGGAAGCGGAAUUUCCGGUGUAGCGGUGAAAUGCGUAGAUAUCGGAAGGAACACCUGUGGCGAAAGCGGCUCACUGGACCAUUACUGACGCUGAGGCACGAAAGCUAGGGGAGCAAACAGG